rnacentral:lncRNA from 1 species
CUUGGAAGAUGGUGUGUUGAUUUGGAGCAAAAUCUCGAACACAGAUGUGUCUUUGAUCUCCUGUUGGCAGUUUUUUCAGAGAUGUCCCUCUCAUAUUUUAAUCUUAGUUGGAAUUGCUGACUUUUCAAAGUUUGAGGCAAUCACGUGGGUGUGCUUUUGAUCCCUUGGGUUUGAAACCUAACAAAAAUUUACGGGCUGGUCCUUGAAGCCUAAUUGAAAGUUUCCACGUUUUGGGCUUUCUUGGGCUGGGGCUUCGUUUUCAACACUUUUGGUGUGAAGCCCAAUCUGUCUAGAUCCUAUUUUUGUUAUUCUCAAGUCUUUGGGCUGGGCAGGUAUUUUUAUCAUGGGCCUGUCUUUUGGACUUUGGCGUGCUGAAUUUGGGCCCAAACAAUGCCCCCUAAGUCUGAAUCGUUUUGGAACGGUUUCAGACUUAAUGUUUUGCCAUUAAUUCGCGCGCCAGUUUUCCGUUUUUUCGCCCACGUCUGCCACGUUUGCCUACUACGAACUAGAGUUCGUGGGAAAACGGCUAGUUAUUAGCUAGUUACUAGCUAAUAAUCAUCAGGUGCCGUCCCGUUUUCUUCUUCCCACGUUUUCGAGCUCCUCUUUAAAAAGAAAUUCAAAUCCACCGCUUUUGAAAAACCCUAAACCUUCCGACUCUGUUCCUCCGAGCUUUUCUUCGGGAUUUCCGUUGUUUUCUUCAGACCUCUCUUUUCUCUGCUUCUUCCCCGAAUCAGAAAUGUCUUCCCCAAGGUCCCGCGCUCAAUCUUCUUCCGCUCCAGUUCCUCCCGAUUACAUCACUGGGACCGGGAUUGAUACUCACGCGAUAGAAGUCAGGAGCAAGCUUCAUCCCUU